AGUGAACGCUGGCGGUAGGCCUAACACAUGCAAGUCGAACGGCAGCACAGGAGAGCUUGCUCUCUGGGUGGCGAGUGGCGGACGGGUGAGGAAUACAUCGGAAUCUACCUUUUCGUGGGGGAUAACGUAGGGAAACUUACGCUAAUACCGCAUACGACCUACGGGUGAAAGUGGGGGACCGCAAGGCCUCACGCGAUUAGAUGAGCCGAUGUCCGAUUAGCUAGUUGGCGGGGUAAUGGCCCACCAAGGCGACGAUCGGUAGCUGGUCUGAGAGGAUGAUCAGCCACACUGGAACUGAGACACGGUCCAGACUCCUACGGGAGGCAGCAGUGGGGAAUAUUGGACAAUGGGCGCAAGCCUGAUCCAGCCAUACCGCGUGGGUGAAGAAGGCCUUCGGGUUGUAAAGCCCUUUUGUUGGGAAAGAAAUCCUAUCGGUUAAUAACCGGUGGGGAUGACGGUACCCAAAGAAUAAGCACCGGCUAACCUCGUGCCAGCAGCCGCCGCCGUAA
rnacentral:rRNA from 1 species